rnacentral:tRNA from 1 species
AUUUAAGUAGUUUAAUAAAAAUUUUGAUUUGUGGAGUCAAGGAUAUAGUCUGUUCUAUUUUAGAUA